AACGUAGGAGACAAACGUUAUCCGGAGUUACUGGGCGUAAAGGGCGUGUAGGUGGUAUCGUAAGUCUGGCGUGAAAUUUCUCGGCUUAACCGAGGCAGGUCGUCGGAUACUGCGAGGCUAGAGGACGGUAGAGGCGUGUGGAAUUCCGGGUGUAGUGGUGAAAUGCGUAGAUAUCGGGAGGAACACCAGUGGCGAAGGCGACUACCUGGCCUGUUCUUGACGCUGAGGCGCGAAAGCUAGGGGAGCAAACGGG
rnacentral:rRNA from 1 species